CCUACGGGGGGCUGCAGUGGGGAAUAUUGGACAAUGGGGGCAACCCUGAUCCAGCAAUGCCGCGUGUGUGAAGAAGGCCUGCGGGUUGUAAAGCACUUUCAGUAGGGAAGAAAAGCUCGGGGCUAAUACCUCCGGGUCUUGACGUUACCUAAAGAAGAAGCACCGGCUAACUCCGUGCCAGCAGCCGCGGUACUACGGACGGUGCUAGCGGUAGUCGGAAUUACUGGGCGUGUAGGGUAAGUCGGAGGUUAAAGCCCUGGGCUUAACCUGGGAACGGCAUUCGAUACUGCCCGGCUAGAGUAUGGGAGAGGGAAGCGGAAUUUCCGGUGUAGCGGUGAAAUGCGUAGAUAUCGGAAGGAACACCAAUGGCGAAGGCAGCUUCCUGGCCCAAUACUGACGCUGAGGUGCGAAAGCGUGGGGAUCAAACAGGAUUAGAUACCCGAGUAGUC
rnacentral:rRNA from 1 species